UGUGUUGAUCACCUGCUCAUUGUGCCAGAACUUUCUCUGGAACAGAAUGAUUUCUUCUGUAUUUGAGCUUUUGAAAUAUGUAGCAUUCAAAAUGCUAACUUUCAACUUGACUAAGUUGCUGACUUUUCUUCAAAAGGAAUAUUUAGAAAUUUUUUUAAAUGAAUAAGUAAUGAGGAUUUUGAAUCUCUGGGGUCUAGAAAUGGAAGGACAGGCUGUACCUAGGAAAACAUGCUUUGCAAAAGUGACUCUUCUUGUGAGAGCAUCUUUGAGAUAUCGGCUUGAGAGGACCAGAACAGGAAGAAAGCAAGCAUAUUUUGGGUUAAAAGAACAAAUUUGGGAGCCUGGAGACACUAAAGAUAUCUUCUGAUUAGGUGAAAGACUUGAGAUCUGCUGGUCCCAGAAGAUAGUUCUUUCGCCUGUCAAGAAAUUACCUGAAGGUGGUAAUUUGACUCUUCAGCUGGUCACUUUCCUCCCAGGCUGAAGUCUGAAAGUGCUUCAGGGUUUUUCUGGAGUCACAAGAGUCUUUGUGUCGGUUCUUCAGGAGGAAAUUACAAUGAUGACAGUUUCCAAAGAACCUCUGGAGAUGGAAAUUAGAGACAAUGAAACAUUUUUCAUAUAUUUCACUGGAAAUUGUCUUUGUAUCUGUGAAACUUUAGUACAUUGGGAAGGGGGGUGGAGGAUUUUCAUGCAUGUGUCCAGUUCUUUCUUCAUCUUUUAAAUUUUCCACUGCACUUGCCAGAGUGGAUGGAGCGCUCCUUUACACAGCUAUUUGGUGAUGUAUCUUCAUUAGCCUGCUAAUUAGUCUUUGGCCUGUUCUAUCCUCUUGGGAACCACUUCCUUCUCUGAGCAAAGAUUGAGUCCACUUACUUUUGCCAUAGUUUAAACACUUAUUAUAGCUAGAUUUUCACAGAAAA